rnacentral:rRNA from 1 species
GACGAACGCUGGCGGCGUGCUUAACACAUGCAAGUCGAACGGAAAGGCCCUGCUUUUGUGGGGUGCUCGAGUGGCGAACGGGUGAGUAACACGUGAGUAACCUGCCCUUGACUUUGGGAUAACUUCAGGAAACUGGGGCUAAUACCGGAUAGGAGCUCCUGCUGCAUGGUGGGGGUUGGAAAGUUUCGGCGGUUGGGGAUGGACUCGCGGCUUAUCAGCUUGUUGGUGGGGUAGUGGCUUACCAAGGCUUUGACGGGUAGCCGGCCUGAGAGGGUGACCGGCCACAUUGGGACUGAGAUACGGCCCAGACUCCUACGGGAGGCAGCAGUGGGGAAUAUUGCACAAUGGGCGGAAGCCUGAUGCAGCAACGCCGCGUGCGGGAUGACGGCCUUCGGGUUGUAAACCGCUUUCGCCUGUGACGAAGCGUGAGUGACGGUAAUGGGUAAAGAAGCAUCGGCUGACUACGUG